rnacentral:rRNA from 1 species
CUACGGGUCGCACCAGUGGGGAAUAUUGCACAAUGGGCGCAAGCCUGAUGCAGCCAUGCCGCGUGUAUGAAGAAGGCCUUCGGGUUGUAAAGUACUUUCAGCGGGGAGGAAGGGAGUAAAGUUAAUACCUUUGCUCAUUGACGUUACCCGCAGAAGAAGCACCGGCUAACUCCGUGCCAGCAGCCGCGGUAAUACGGAGGGUGCAAGCGUUAAUCGGAAUUACUGGGCGUAAAGCGCACGCAGGCGGUGUGUUAAGUCAGAUGUGAAAUCCCCGGGCUCAACCUGGGAACUGCAUCUGAUACUGGCAAGCUUGAGUCUCGUAGAGGGGGGUAGAAUUCCAGGUGUAGCGGUGAAAUGCGUAGAGAUCUGGAGGAAUACCGGUGGCGAAGGCGGCCCCCUGGACGAAGACUGACGCUCAGGUGCGAAAGCGUGGGGAGCAAGCAGGAUUAGAUACCCUUGUAGUC